rnacentral:rRNA from 1 species
UACGUAGGGUGCGAGCGUUAAUCGGAAUUACUGGGCGUAAAGCGUGCGCAGGCGGUGCGUUAAGUCAGCUGUGAAAGCCCCGGGCUCAACCUGGGAAUUGCGGUUGAAACUGGCGAACUAGAAUCUGGCAGAGGGGGGUGGAAUUCCACGUGUAGCAGUGAAAUGCGUAGAGAUGUGGAGGAACACCGAUGGCGAAGGCAGCCCCCUGGGCUGAGAUUGACGCUCAGGCACGAAAGCGUGGGGAGCAAACAGG